rnacentral:rRNA from 1 species
CCUACGGGUGGCUGCAGUGGGGAAUAUUGCACAAUGGGGGAAACCCUGAUGCAGCGACGCCGCGUGAGUGAAGAAGUAAUUCGUUAUGUAAAGCUCUAUCAGCAGGGAAGAAAAUGACGGUACCUGAGUAAGAAGCCCCGGCUAACUACGUGCCAGCAGCCGCGGUAAUACGUAGGGGGCAAGCGUUAUCCGGAUUUACUGGGUGUAAAGGGAGCGUAGGUGGUUUGAUAAGUUGGUAGCGUAACUCCGAGGCUCAACCUCGGCACUACUACCAAAACUGUCGGACUUGAGUGCAGGAGGGGCAACUGGAAUUCCUAGUGUAGCGGUGGAAUGCGUAGAUAUUAGGAGGAACACCAGUGGCGAAGGCGAGUUGCUGGACUGUAACUGACACUGAGGCACGAAAGCGUGGGGAGCAAACAGGAUUAGAUACCCUUGUAGUC